rnacentral:lncRNA from 1 species
UUUAAUCUAUUGGAUUAAAUUGAAAUUUGUAUAGUUAUAACCACUUUAUGAUAUUUUGUUAGUUUAACUAUAGAUUCACGUAUUCCAUUAGAUUCGAUUGAUGCUUUUUGGAGAAAGCUUGAUUUGAAGCCUUCUAUAUCUGUUGAAUAUGGUGAUCUUAAUGUUGAUCAUCGUAUGCAAAGGAUUAAAGAAAUAUGCAACUAUCAACCAGAUCAUAUCAAAUACAAUUAUUUAAGGAGGAUGGAGGAGAUAACAGAUCCAUCAACAAAUUUGAUCAAUAAACCUUCGGUUAAGAAAAAUAACAAUGGACACCCAAAAGUAAUGUCACACCCCAUAACCAGGAACGGCGGAAAUGUUCUGGGCCGGAGGACGUCAUGUACAGUAUCACAACAAUGAAUAGUAGUAAACAAGCAACAACAUCAUCCAUUGCAUUAAUAAUUAAUUUUAAUACAAGUGUUCUGACAUGUUUAAUAGACACUAAAGUAUGAAUCAAAAUGAAAGAUGAGUCUGGAACGAGCUCCAUCUUCUCUAAACCUUGCACCGGUACUUGUCUACUAUUGACCUGAGGAUACAAUUUAUUUUGAAAAAGAGUAUCAGCUUUAAAGCUGGUGAAAUCAUAAGUAUUUUAGUGUUUGUAUUUGUAAUAAUGUAUAUGUAAGAAUGUAUUUGUAAGACUGUAUUUGUAAGUAUAAGUAUGUAAAAGUUUUGAAUAACCUAGAAAACCCUAUGCUUCCUACUGAAAGUAGCCUUCUACCAAGGCAUCUAGUAUCUGACUAUGUCUCUUGUAAGAGUGUGCAUUUUCCCAAAUCUAACUAUCAUUAACCAAAAAUAUAGUAUUUACAUUACCGUACAUCGUGUGAAUGUUCACAAAGUGAAUGUAAUGGGGAAAUAAUAAUGUAUUGUAGUAUUAUAAUAAGUGACUACUUUUGUACUAACUACCUUAAACCAAAUGAAAUUUAAAGUAACAUGUGAUCGUCCGGUAUCCUGCUACCGACUAAAUAGUAAAACGACGAUGUAAGACGCCGUAAGAAAUGACAUUUGGCACCCGUAGACUUGCAAGUCCCACUGUAGCGAGCAGCAAGGUGUACGAUAGUCAAUCCAAUAUAGAUCUAUACGCAAACUCAUACGCUCCCCAAUUAAGGAGAUUCUGGAUACAAAAACGGUCAUGGCAGGUAGUGCCAUGACCCGUUUAAUGGCUCACAUAACUGAAUGUAAAUUAUAUGUAAUGUAUGCUAGCUGUAUUGUAUGUUCUCCCUCUGUCUAGCCUGUAUGUUCUCUAUGUAUAGUAUUGUAAUGUAUUGUGUGUACUAGCUGUAUUGUGUGUUCUCUCUAUCUAGCAAGUAUUGUAAUUUUUUGUGUGUACUACCUGUAUUGUCUGUCCUCUUUAUCUAGCAAGUAUUAUAAUGUUCUAUGUGUACUUGUUGUAUUGUGUGUUCUCUCUAUCUAGCAAGUAUUGACUCAUGCAUGUACUGACUCUUGUAUGAUUCAUUGUUCUAGUAUUAGUAUUAGUAAAACCCUAAACUACGCCUAUUGUAGCUUACUAGUAAUAUAACUUGUACGUAUGAACAUGGAAGUAUACCCUUGCUACCCAAGGGUAUUGAAUUGAUUGGAAGAACCUUUAUGAUUAUAUAUGUACACAUGAUAUAUAACUAAUAGUUAAACGACCUUCGGACAGAUACCCGAUACCUUACCAGACCACAUCCCAACGGGGAAAAGGAAAUAAGGCGGGUUAGCCUUCCUAACUCCUUCAAACAUUACUUAUAUAACUAUACAUAUAUAGGCAUGCAAUUGACAAUAUAAAAGUAUAGAAGAAGUUUUGUAAAACCCUUGAAAAGUUUUAUAACUAGGAAAAGAUGACUUGAUGUCAGUUUGUAAAACAGUUUGAAAACAGUUUAUUUGAUAAGAACAGUUUAAAGUAUAAUGAAACCUUUGUUUUGGAAACACAACUGUAACAGAGAUUUGAAAAGAAACAUUCAGUAUGUAAGACAGUUUGAUAAAGAAUUGUAAACUAGUAAAAAUGUUUUGGAAAGCCAUUUGAAGUAAUUUGUUUGGUAAAACAACUAAAAGUGUGGUUAUUCUAUUUGUAUGCUAGUUAUCAAUCACAUGUGAUUGAUAUAAUAAAUAGCAUGAUUCAACUUGUAUCCCCCCAUAAAAGCAUAUAAAAACAUUUAAAAUAUAAAUUAAGGGGUAUGAACUCACCUAUAGCAAGUGGUUGGGAUGAACGGACUGUAUAGGAUGCUGGGUGUCAAGUGAAGACUUCCACACACUCUAUGAUCCUAGAUAACAUAUAAUAUCACAUAUAUGUAACCAAUUAGCCUUUAAAGAAUUAACUAACAAGGUUAAGACAUCCUAAAACAUGUUAAACACUUUAUAUAAGUGUUAUAAGUGCUAAGGAUUGCAUCUAAGUGUUGUAGGACAAGGCUAUUGGGUUUUAGGGUUCAAGGGAACCCCUAAUAUGAGUUUACUCCCUAAAGACCAUAACCCCUUGACUUUACGGUCGUAAACCCUUGAGUUUACGGCCGUAAGCUCAUAAUCUUUUGACCAUUUGAUGGUUUGAAGUCUUCUAGGCCAUUCCAAGCAUUCCUACUUCAUGUUUAAGCCUUAGGAAAUGUUUUGUGGCAUCAAUACACUCCUUGAUGGAGUUUACGGCCCAUGGACCAUUUCUCCAUGAGUUUGCUGUCGUAAACUCCUAUGGACUAAGGUAUUUUGAUGUUUUCAAGUCCCAAACACUUCGUGGUAAAAGUCUAGGCUUGAUUCAAGGCAUAAGGAAGGAACAUGGGCCAUUUUUACACACCUUUAGGGUGUUUACGGUUUUGAGAGAUCCCCAAACCGUAAACACAUAUAAAUGAGUCAUUUUGGUGGUUUUUAUGUGCUAAACACAUUAAGGAAGGGGUCUAAACUAGUUACCAAGGCUUAGGAUAAGCUAAGGAACACAUUGGCACCCUAAAUAGGGUUUACGGUCCAAGGUGUUCUUCGACCGUAAACACCUUUGAUCUUGGUGUUCUUGGAUGAUUUCUUGAGGUAUAGAAGUGUAACAAGCUUGUAAGACUCUAGGAUAGAAGCACUUACAAGUUAGAAGCUCGAAAAGGUCCAAAAGGCCAAGAACACAAGUGUGUGUUCUUGGUAUAAAUUGAAGAUUGACCCUUUUGGAAUGAUUUCACGGUUAGAAGUGUGUUAAAACACUAGAUUAAGCCAUAAAAUAACUUAAGAAGGCUAGAAGCACUUAUUAGAUCGAAGAUCUCGAAAAACUUUUGGAUGAUACUUGAGAGAGAGAAAUGGGUUUGGAUCUUGAGAUUUGGAAAAGUGUAAAUAAUGACUAACUCUCAUAUAUAUACUCCCAAAUUUAUGAUUUUUGGAAGAAAAUAUUUUUUUCAGGCAGUAAACCCUAAUUUAUUAGAGUAUUGGAAUAACAGUGUUGCACAAUAACCCUAGGGCAUCCUCUCUCCUGAUAUCACCCGAAGUGUAAAUCCUAAAAUACUCAAACUUGUUCCAAAAAGUUUGAAACUUAGCAACAACUUUUCUGGCUUCUAUUGUAUUGAAGGGUUGUAUAAAAUUGAAAUUUCGGGUUGUGACAUCAUCCCCCUGUUAGAAGGAAUUUCGUCCUGAAAUUAGAAUUUAGGUAAGGAAGUAGGCAUGAAUAAUCGAGCCAAGAAAUGGGGAUACUUCCUAAUUGGUUGAUUCUUGAGCUCCCAAGUGAAUUCGGGUCCCUGGUUGGCAUCUCAGCGAACCUUCACUAAAGGGGAAACGACUAUGAAUCAUUCGUAUGACCUCUCGAUCCAUGGUCACUACAGUUCUUCCACGUAGGUGAGGCUCUUGUGGGACUCGAUCUCUUCGAGUGGGAUUUCAAGAGUCUCGUCGGAUCGAUAAAUUUUACAAAUUCGAGAUGGGAAGGGUAGAAUGUACGUUACUAAGCUCGCAUAGUAGGUUGAGUUUGUGAGAUACAUGACCGAUUCUGGUAAGAAUCUCUGAGAUCCUAACUAUCUUGGAUUUAGCUCUUCUCACCUUCCAAAACGUAUCAAGCCAUUCCCAAAGUGAGACUUCCUAAAGAAUUUGGUCUCUCACUUGGAAUUCCAAAGUUUCUUUUUCUUGCUUAUCUUCCCAAUAAGGGGCCACCCCUUGCUGGGUUAAAGUCGUAAGGGUUUCUGAAAUUCACGAGGAGUUCUGAAUGGACUAUGAUAGUAGGUCUGCAAGACCUAAAAUUUGACGAAUUCCCGAUGGCGUCUUCGGUGCUGACAAAUUCUCAACGGUUUUGAUAAAUUGCAAGGGUCCUCAAGAAUUUCCACAUCACUAAUAGUGUGUCUUAGGAAUUUUUGAAACUUCAAUCCCAAAACUCGUAUUUAGAGAACUUUGCGUAACGCUUCUCUGAUCGUAUUGGUUCCAUGGUUUGUUGUAGGUGAUCUUUAUGAUUUCCUUCUUACUACGAGGGUAGAUAAGUAAGUCAUUUACAAGGUUAAUGACGAACUGAUUCAAGUAAGAAUGGCGUACUCUAUCCAUUAAGUUCAUGAGUACUACGGGCGUAUUGGUCCUAUCCGAGGGGUAUCACUACGGACUCGUAGUGUCCGUAUCAAGUUCGGAAGGUCGUCUUCGGGACAUCCUUCUCUAAUGCUCGAAACUGGUGACAUUCAGAUUUCAGGUCCAUUUCUGAAAAGUAAUUUGUUUCUUGCGUUUGCUCAACCAAUUCCUCUAUGUGAGGCAGAGAUAACGAUUUCUAAAGGAAAUCUUGACGAAUCCCCGAUAGUCGAGGUACAUAAGAUACAUCCGUCUACCUCUAGAAGAAUAAGAUCGGAGCCCUCCUGCGUGAGGAGCUGGGUCUUUCUAUUCUUAUGUUGGGUAGUUCGCUAAGUUUUCUGGACUGUUCUUGUCUCUCUGUGGGUGUUUAGACUGUAAGGCGAUCUGGUUACAGGAGUCGUACUGAGUUCUAUGUUUGUUCACAUGACAAUGCGAUUACUCGUAGUCUUGGGUAGUCUCCGUCCUGGACUUCAUAUUAGAAUUCAUACAUGGUUCAACGAUCACAAUCUCGUGUAUACGAUUCGUAUAUCAUUAAGAUUGAAAAGAUAGUCGAAUAAAUGAUUCUUAUUUACCUUCACAUCCCAAUGAGGAAAAGAGGUUAAAGUGGAAUCAUCAAUUCUUAACCUAUAGAACCUUGAUUAUAUACCACCCCUUUGUAUACAUUCUUCAGUAAUAGAUCAACCGUAUGGGUCUUUGGAUUGAACUUGACGUAUUGUACCAGUGAUACUUUGAGGAUUUUUUCGGAAAGGAAAAGAAGCAUGAGGUACUCCAUGCACGAGUACUUCGGUGGCCUGUUAUGACGGCUUCGCUGGAAAGGCGAUUUCGGAGAAAGAGAUGUACGUAAGGAGCUGGUAUUGUGCGGAUCAAAUUGAGUCUAGUUGUAUGAUAAUGUCGGAAUCAUAUGGGAACUACAAACAUUAGAUUUGAACAUAAGGCGGUACAAACAAAACACCACCGUGCAACCAUUAACAGAGUUACAGUACUUUAGACUUACUACAAGACUAUUGCUGCGAACAAGGUAUACUACAAAAGACAAGUAUACGCAGCACGAGCAUCCCUUUACUGAUGGGAUCUCGCAAAAGAUACGACUCUAGUAGCACUAGUUUUGGAUGGUUUAUAGGUCUUUUACAACGAACGCCCUAGAUAUUCUAAUGAAGGUCCGUCAUAGUUUCUCCUGCAGAUGUGAUCCUGAGAAUCUUCCCAUCAGCGCUCGAGUUCUUCGCUAUCGGGCAAUCCUUCUUGAGGUGUCCAAUUUCACCGCAUUGGUGACAUAUCUGGACAGCACCAACAUUGGUGGUGGAAAUGAUGUGUCGAGCUAGAGUGACGUGGACACGAGUGUUCUCCUUGUUCAUCCCCUUUGAAACUUUCCUUUCAUAGGGUCUAGUUUUAACACCACCAUCGUAAGCUCGGUUGACUCUGAUGUCAGGGGCUUGAGUGAUGGGUCAUGCCGGUGCUUCACAGCUACGAGCAUGGUGCCCUAUUUUUAGGCAAUUGCAACAUUGCACCUAAUGGAAAGCCCCAUGAUGAUGGAAACUACACUUAUCACACUUCGGAAGUUUUCCCUCGUAUGGUCUGCUCGGUACGGGGAGGGCAGGGGUUUCCACUUGUUGUUGUUGCAUGGCAAGCUUUUGGGAUUUCUUGCGUUCUUUCUGGGCUUGGCAUUGUCGUUUCUUGUUCUCUGCUUUUCGGCUUUGCGAGCCUGCGACUGUUACCGUUUGAUGACUUCCUGGAUUGAUACUGCGAUCGGGAUUUUCAACCCCUUCGUCAGCAUUGAUUGCGCUGAUAGCGCUUCAAUGUGCAAGGACAGCUGUCACGGCAGCCAUCAUGGCAGCUGUAAUUGCGGUUUGAAAAGUAGCGGCGUCCAUAGGAAAAGCAGAGGUUUCGUUGUUCGGCUGACAGUUUCCGGAUGACGACAUGAUUCUGUAAUACGAAUAGAUAAGGAUUUUUUCAGCGAUUCUGGAUUACCCUAAAUGUACUUCGAUCGCUUAAGUAAAGAGUAAGAGUAUGUUCUCAAAAGUUUAACCUACAUCCCUAUGAUGCAGUCCUACUAUGGAAUUGAAGUAUGUUCAUGCAGGUUUGACCUACAUCUCUAUGAUGUAGUCCUAGAAAGAGUGGAAGUAAGUUCGUAGAAUGGUCUCCAAACGUUUUGUCGUUCAAGCCGAGGUAUGAAUGGUUGGUGGAUAAUAUGAUCCAACCUUUGAAAGAGGCUUGAAGAUGAUCCCGGAGCUAAAUUACUAUAGUCCAAAGACUUGACUAAAGCAAAUUUCAGAUACACUCAAUUGAAGGUAUGAUAAAAGUAUUUGAACAGAGAAUAACUCAGGAGUUAGUCGACUGUCAAUAUCAUCGAUGUUUAAGAUGUAAUAAAUUCGGGAAAAUUGACCUUGUAGUAGGUCUUACAUCACAUCUAGAGUAGAGAAGUCUUUGACAGCAUAAAGACCUAACUAAAGUACUUACAGUACAAGGUAAUCACAUAGAUAAGUGCUAUACCGGACAUAGAUAUGAACAUGGUCCCUAAAAACAAAGAAGGGAAGUAAAGUAUUUCCUACUAGCGACGGUCACCCCUAUGGUGAACCCUUAGUUCAUCUAGUUGACGUUCCAUAUCAAGCAGGUAUCUUUCGUAUACCCUCUGACGUACUCGGAGCUCUAUGACUUCGGCUCAGGUUUCAGCUAGUGCUUGCAGCAGGGUUUCAUGGUCUCUCUCAGAUCUCUCACGAGUAUGUUCAAGGUGGUUGGUGCGAAGGAUAUGCAUCCCUCCAUUGGUGUCAAUUCUGCGAUACGACGUAGAGCUGUCCUGCCCUGAAUUCCGUUUCGGGCAACUCUACGGAUCAGGAUUGGUAGAACUCUAUUUGCUGUGCUCCCUUCAUUUACGUUGUAGAAGCUUCGGUCUCCAUUAAACGGCAUAGGUUGAUCUUGAUCUUCGCUUCAUGCUUCCAAACAUUCGACCCAAGGAGGCGUCGGGCCAUGAAAAGCUAGACGAGGGUUAGGAUUUGGAAUGGGAGCUACCGAGGGUAGGUUCUCAACCUCGGGUUCGGAGUUAGCACCAUCUGAAAGGUCUUCACCAUGAUGAUCAUUCAAAGGGAUCAUAUGAUCAUUCUCUGGUUCUUCCCCUAACCAUCCAGCAAUGACCUCAUUCAAAAGGUACGGGUUGUCGUGGGGAUGGAGUCCAGCCAUGUUAUCUAUGCGAGAAUUGGGGUAAGAAAAUAAUUAUUAGACGAAUUAUCUAGAUAAUUAUUUAGAAAAUCUUCAUUAGUUACAUCACUAUUUGUGAAGUGCAUACCAGUUAUAUGUAAUCACAACCGGAUAGGCCUUCGAAUAAGUGACCUUAACUCCAAAUUCACAAAGAAUAGGGGUAAAGCAAAAAAUUUCACAGAUUCUAAGUCUAUAACAUCCUAGUUACAUAUAGCCUUAGUGUAUCCACUUAGAAACUAUCAACUUAGUAAUGAAGAUCCUUUUUAGUUCUCAAGUAUAAAAUACUUAUAGUAACCCCAAAUACCCCUAUAGUAUUUUAGGUUUAUGUUCUAUUGUUCUCAUUGUGGUAUUGUUGGUAAGAUUUUAUACUUGUUGCAACCACACAACUACACUUAGGCACAUGCUAGUCAACCCUUGGAUAAUAUAGUUGAUCAGGCUAUAUCUUCCCAGUUUUGACUAUAUGUCUCUAAGUCCACUUGUGUUGCCCAACAAUCGUAAUUCUUUUGUACAGUCCUAGUGACACUGAUUUUAGUAUGAAUGCAGGCACGUAUACUUAAUUAAAUAUUUUAUUAUUUAAAGUAUAAACUCUUGGUCAGAGUAUUUUAAUCCCAUUGUAUUUAUAGUCUGUAUAUCUUUUAUGGUUUGAUAUACUCAAUUCACUAUAAACAAUGCUCUGAUACCAAUCUGUCACACCCCAAAACCACGAACGGCGGAAAUGUUCUGGGCCGAAGGACGUCAUGUACAGUAUCACAACAAUGAAUAGUAGUAAACAAGCAACAACAUCAUCCAUUGCAUUAAUAAUUAAUUUUAAUACAAGUGUUCUGACAUGUUUAAUAGACACUAAAGUAUGAAUCAAAAUGAAAGAUGAGUCUGGAACGAGCUCCAUCUUCUCUAAACCUUGCAUCGGUACAUGUCUACUGUUGACCUGAGGAUACAAUUUAUUUUGAAAAAGAGUAUCACCUUUAAAGCUGGUGAGAUCAUAAGUAUUUUAGUGUCUGUAUUUGUAAUAAUGUAUAUGUAAGAAUGUAUUUGUAAGACUGGAUUUGUAAGUAUGAGUAUGUAAAAGUUUUGAAUAACCUAGAAAACCCUAUGCUUCCUACUGAAAGUAGCCUUCUACCAAGGCAUCUAGUAUCUGACUAUGUCUCUUGUAAGAGUGUGCAUUUUCCCAAAUCCAACUAUCAUUAACCAAAAAUAUAGUAUUUACAUUACCGUGUAUCAUGUGAAUGUUCACAAAGUGAAUGUAAUGGGGAAAUAAUAAUGUAUUGUAGUAUUAUAAUAAGUGACUACUGUUGUACUAACUACCUUAAACCAAAUGAAAUUUAAAGUAACAUGUGAUCGUCCGGUAUCCUGCUACCGACUAAAUAGUAAAACGAAGAUGUAAGAUGCCGUAAGAAAUGACAUUUGGCACCCGUAGACUUGCAAGUCCCACUUUAGCGAGUAGCAAGGUGUAGGAUAGUCAAUCUAGUAUAGAUCUAUACGCAAACUCAUACGCUCCCCAAUU